rnacentral:rRNA from 1 species
AGAGGGGGCGAGCGUUGUUCGGAAUUACUGGGCGUAAAGGGCGCGUAGGCGGCCAACUAAGUCAGACGUGAAAUCCCCAGGCUCAACCUGGGAACUGCGUCUGAUACUGGAUGGCUAGAGUUCGGGAGAGGGAAGCGGAAUUCCAGGUGUAGCGGUGAAAUGCGUAGAUAUCUGGAGGAACACCGGUGGCGAAGGCGGCUUCCUGGACCGACACUGACGCUGAGGCGCGAAAGCCAGGGGAGCAAACGGGGAUUAGAUACCCCGGUAGUCCUGGCCCUAAACGAUGAAUGCUUGGUGUGGCGGGUAUCGAUCCCCUGCCGUGCCGAAGCUAACGCAUUAAGCAUUCCGCCUGGGGAGUACGGUCGCAAGGCUG